rnacentral:rRNA from 1 species
GACGAACGCUGGCGGCGUGCCUAACACAUGCAAGUCGAGCGCCACGCAAGGGGAGCGGCAGACGGGUGGGUAACGCGUGGGAAUCUACCCAUGGCUACGGUAUAACGCAUGGGAACGAGUGCUACUACCGCAUGCAUCCUUCGGAAUAAAGAUUUAUCGGAAAUGGAGGAGCCCGCGUUGGAUUAGCUAGUUGGUGGGGUAAAGGCCUACCAAGGCGACGAUCCAUAACUGGUCUGAGAGGAUGAUCAGCCACACUGGGACUGAGACACGGCCCAGACUCCUACGGGAGGCAGCAGUGGGGAAUAUUGGACAAUGGGCGCAAGCCUGAUCCAGCCAUGCCGCGUGGGUGAUGAAGGCCCUAGGGUUGUAAAGCUCUUUCACCGGUGAAGAUAAUGACGGUAACCGGAGAAGAAGCCCCGGCUAACUUCGUGCCAGCAGCCGCGGUAAAAC